rnacentral:tRNA from 1 species
UCCCUGUGGUUCAGUGGCUAAGACUCUGCACUCCCAGUGCAGGGGGCCCAGGUUCAAACCCUGGUCAGGGAG